rnacentral:misc_RNA from 1 species
GAGCACUAGCUUGGUGAUCUUUUACAGAAGGUUCCUGGUGUUGCGUAGGAAUAGCAGCUGGCUCAACUAGUGGAGCAGGAGGAGGUUCAACUAGUGGAGCAGUAGGCUCAAUGGGUUCAGAUUCUGGAACCUUUUCACUUUCCUUGGGUAACUCACUUGCAGCUUCUACAACCUUGGGAUCAUCAAGUGCAGUGGGUACAUCAGCUGUAGGAUCAAUCUCAGGUUCAAGAACCUGGUCACUAGCUUGUUCAUCAGGGGCAUCCACUACAGGUUCAAAUUCUGCUUCAGCAAGUUUACCACUUUCACAUACCAUAUCAGCAGGAGACUCUUCAACUUUGUUGCUCUCUUCUUUAUCAGCAGAAACCUGAGUAGCAGCCUCAACUUUAGUU